CCCUUAGAUGUCCUGGGCCGCACGCGUGCUACACUGACACCUGCAACGAGUUAUUCCAGCUCCGAAAGGCAGUUGGUAAUCAGAAAUAGGUGUCGUGAUGGGGAUAGACCCUUGGAAUUAUGGAUCUUGAACGAGGAAUGCCUAGUAAGCGCACGUCAUUAGCGUGCGCUGAUUAAGUCCCUGCCCUUUGUACACACCGCCCGUCGCUCCUACCGAUUUCGAGUGGUCCGGUGAGCCUUUUGGAGAGUGAGCGUCCUUGAGGCGCUUGCUCGAAGUCAGGCAAAUCUUNCNACUUAGNGGAAGGAUAANUCGUANCA
rnacentral:rRNA from 1 species